GUUAAAUUUGUAUGAAAACCAAAGUGUAAAAACGAUAAGUUGCGGUUUUACAGGGGACUGUGUGCUGGACUCUGGUCUUGCACUCUGGUUUACAGGUGCUGGUAGGCAGAUUUUGUCACCGUAGGACAGACCCCCGGUAACUAAAGUAACAAGCUGCUGGCUGGCGCUUCAUACUUACCGUACAGACAGAACAAUGUUAUUGACCUUAUCUAACACUCCGCAAGAAAGCGAGUGACUGUAUUCAACUAUUUAACCUCUAAGAGAAUUGUACAUUUCUGAAGGUGAGGCCUAUGAGAAAUUGAUAUUGUUUUUCAUGCCCCAGAGUUUGAAUCGUUUGGUUUCAUAUAUCCAUUCGCUAGAAGGCCAGUUGAAGAAAUAAUUAAGUCUCUUCCUUCCUGCUGUGAUUUUUCAAGACUAAUACCUGAAAACUGUGUGCUUAACAAAUGAACGACGGUGAGCAAAUGGCUUACGAAAAUGUGUGGGUGUGUUUCAGAUCCGUGUGAAAGUGGAAAAGAAUCCAGAGCUAGGUUUCAGUAUAUCGGGAGGAGUGGGAGGCCGAGGAAACCCCUUUCGUCCAGAUGACAAUGGUAUAUUCGUGACAAGGGUCCAGGCUGAAGGACCGGCGUCCAAGAUUCUUCAGCCUGGAGAUAAAAUUAUCCAGGCAAAUGGAUACAGCUUUGUGAAUAUCGAUCAUGGGAAUGCAGUGUCCCUCCUGAAGACAUUUCCAAACACUGUGGAUUUGACUAUCAUAAGAGAAAUGCAAGCAUAGACUCAACUGAAA